UACGUAGGGUGCAAGCGUUGUCCGGAUUUAUUGGGCGUAAAGAGCUCGUAGGCGGUCUGUCGCGUCGGAUGUGAAAACCCAGGGCUCAACCCUGGGCCUGCAUUCGAUACGGGCAGACUAGAGUGUGGCAGGGGAGACUGGAAUUCCUGGUGUAGCGGUGAAAUGCGCAGAUAUCAGGAGGAACACCGAUGGCGAAGGCAGGUCUCUGGGCCACUACUGACGCUGAGAAGCGAAAGCAUGGGGAGCGAACAGG
rnacentral:rRNA from 1 species